rnacentral:rRNA from 1 species
AGUGAACGCUGGCGGUAGGCCUAACACAUGCAAGUCGAACGGCAGCACAGGAGAGCUUGCUCUCUGGGUGGCGAGUGGCGGACGGGUGAGGAAUACAUCGGAAUCUACCUUUUCGUGGGGAUAACGUAGGGAAACUUACGCUAAUACCGCAUACGACCUACGGGUGAAAGUGGGGACCGCAAGGCCUCACGCGAUUAGAU